rnacentral:rRNA from 1 species
CCUGGCUCAAGACGAACGCUGGCGGUGCGCCUUAUGCAUGCAAGUCGAGCGAAGCUUUUCAGUAGUUUACUACAGAAAAUGACUGAGCGGCGAACGGGUGAGUAACGCGUGAGCAAUCUACCUUAGUUACAGGGAUAGCCCGAGGAAACUCGGAUUAAUACCUGAUAUUCUUUAUAUUUCGCAUGAAAUUAAAAGGAAAGGUCAGCCGAACUAAGACGAGCUCGCGUUCUAUCAGCUAGUUGGUGAGGUAAAAGCUCACCAAGGCUACGACGGAUAGCUGGUCUGAGAGGACGAUCAGCCACACUGGGACUGAGACACGGCCCAGACUCCUACGGGAGGCUGCAGCAGGGAAUAUUGCGCAAUGAGCGAAAGCUUGACGCAGCGACACCGCGUGUGGGAUGACGGAUCUAGGUUUGUAAACCACUUUCAGGAGGGAAGAAAAUGACGGUACCUCCACAAGAAGCCCCGGCCAACUACGUGCCAGCAGCCGCGGUAAUACGUAAGGGGCGAGCGUUGUCCGGAUUUAUUGGGCGUAAAGAGCUCGUA